CACCUGUUUUACAAAAACAUGUCUUAUUGAUUAUAAUUUUAAGUCUAAUCUGCCCAAUGAUUUUUUUAUUUAAUGGCUGCAGAAUUUAUAACUGUACAAAGGUAGCAUAAUAAUUAGUUUUUUAAUUGAAAACUAGAAUGAAAGAUUAAAUGAAAUAUACACUAUAUAAAUAAAAUUAAAAAUUAAAAUUAAAAUUUAAGUAAAAAUUCUUAAAUUAUUUUAAAAGACGAGAAGACCCUAUAGAAUUUUAUUUUUUAUUAUUUUAAAAUUUAUUAAUAAAUUAAAAUAAAUUAUAAAAAAUUUAAUUGGGGUAAUUUUAAAAUUAAAUUAAUUUUUAUUUAAAAAACAUAAAUUAAUGAAUUUUUAAUCUUAAAAUUUAGAUUAAAAAAAAUAAAUUACCUUAGGGAUAACAGCGUAA
rnacentral:rRNA from 1 species